rnacentral:rRNA from 1 species
UACGGAGGGUGCAAGCGUUAUCCGGAAUCACUGGGUUUAAAGGGUGCGUAGGCGGUUCGAUAAGUCAGAGGUGAAAGCUAGCAGCUUAACUGUUAAAUUGCCUUUGAUACUGUUGGACUUGAAUCAAGUUGAGGUAGGCGGAAUGUGACAUGUAGCGGUGAAAUGCAUAGAUAUGUCAUAGAACACCAAUUGCGUAGGCGGCUUGCUGGGCUUGAAUUGACGCUGAGGCACGAAAGCGUGGGGAUCAAACAGG